AGUGAACGCUGGCGGUAUGCCUAACACAUGCAAGUCGAACGGCAGCACAGUAAGAUCUUGCUCUUACGGGUGGCGAGUGGCGGACGGGUGAGGCAUACAUCGGAAUCUACUUUUUCGUGGGGGAUAACGUAGGGACACUGACGCUAAUACCGCAUACGUCCUACGGCUGAAUGCAGUGGAGCUUGGCACCUUUCGCGAUUCAAUUAGCCGAUGUCGGAUUAGCUAGUUGGCGGGGUAAAGGCCCACCAAGGCGACGAUCCGUAGCUGGUCUGAGAGGAUGAUCGGCCACACUGGAACUGAGACACGGUCCAGACUCCUACGGGAGGCAGCAGUGGGGAAUAUUGGACAAUGGGCGCAAGCCUGAUCCAGCCAUACCGCGUGAGUGAAGAAGGCCUUCGGGUUGUAAAGCCCUUUUGUUGGGAAAGAAAAGCAGCAGGUUAAAACACCGCUGUUCUGACGGUACCCAAAGAAUAAGCACCGGCUAACUUCGUG
rnacentral:rRNA from 1 species